AUUGAACGCUGGCGGCAGGCCUAACACAUGCAAGUCGAGCGGUAGAGAGAAGCUUGCUUCUCUUGAGAGCGGCGGACGGGUGAGUAAUGCCUAGGAAUCUGCCUGGUAGUGGGGGAUAACGUUCGGAAACGGACGCUAAUACCGCAUACGUCCUACGGGAGAAAGCAGGGGACCUUCGGGCCUUGCGCUAUCAGAUGAGCCUAGGUCGGAUUAGCUAGUUGGUGGGGUAAUGGCUCACCAAGGCGACGAUCCGUAACUGGUCUGAGGGGAUGAUCAGUCACACUGGAACUGAGACACGGUCCAGACUCCUACGGGAGGCAGCAGUGGGGAAUAUUGGACAAUGGGCGAAAGCCUGAUCCAGCCAUGCCGCGUGUGUGAAGAAGGUCUUCGGAUUGUAAAGCACUUUAAGUUGGGAGGAAGGGCAGUAAAUUAAUACUUUGCUGUUUUGACGUUACCGACAGAAUAAGCACCGGCUAACUCUGUG
rnacentral:rRNA from 1 species